rnacentral:rRNA from 1 species
AUGCGUCAGAGGCGGUUCGUGGGCCAGGCUAGCAGCGUGGGCAGAUGGGUUUCUAGGCGGCCGUCGACCGCCGACGAGGUGAGCCGUGGAUCAGGUUCUCGAUUUCCGUCUGCUCCGUGGCUCAGAAAAGUCGCUGCUCCAUGCAUUGAAUGCAAGGUGUGUCUGUUUUGUCCCAACGCGGCCGUCAUUUUGGAGAUUCAGAAGCAAGGAGGGGAGAGAGUGGAAGAACAGGCGACCGACAGGAUGGCUCAUGCAAUCAGGAGAUCCAAUCUGAUUGAGGAGGUUGGGGGAGAUUCUAGUGCUGGAAGGGUCGCCGGCACAUGGCGCCAGGCGGACAGUGGUCAAGGUGACGCUGCAGGAGGCCACGGGUGUGAGCGCCAAAGGGCGGAUCUGCGGCGUGGCUGA